rnacentral:rRNA from 1 species
GAUGAACGCUGGCGGCGUGCCUAAUACAUGCAAGUCGAGCGAACGGACGAGAAGCUUGCCUCUCUGAUGUUAGCGGCGGACGGGUGAGUAACACGUGGAUAACCUACCUAUAAGACUGGGAUAACUUUGGGAAACCGGAGCUAAUACCGGAUAAUAUUUUGAACCGCAGGGUUCGAAAGUGAAAGACGGUCUUGCUGUCACUUAUAGAUGGAUCCGCGCUGCAUUAGCUGGUUGGUAAGGUAACGGCUUACCAAGGCAACGAUGCAUAGCCGACCUGAGAGGGUGAACGCCCACACUGGAAGUGAGCCACGGUCCAGACUCCUACGGGAGGCCGCAGUAGCGAAUCUUCCGAAAUGGGCGAAAGCCUGCAGGAGCAACGCCGCGUGAGUGAUGCAGGUCUUCGGAUCGUAAAACUCUGUUAUUAGGGAAGACCAUAUGUGUAAGUAGCUGUGCACAUCGUGACGGUACCUAAUCAGAAAGCCACGGCUAACUACGUG